UGAUUUCUUUUACCCAUAUCCUCAAAGGAAACAAAUUUCUCUGACAGUUCUACAGAUGGUAUCACAUCUGCCCUUUGUUCAUCCUUUCAUACAACAACUUUUAAACUUUUUAUUGAGUGCCUACUAUGUGCCAGGCCCCACGUGAGGCCAGGGAUUAGGAAACUACAAGCCAGAGGGCCAAAUCCAGUCUACUGUCUGGUUUUGUAAAUAAGGUUUAUUGGAACACAGUCACACUCAUUCAUGUAUGUGAAUUGCACGGCUGAGUUCUGGCAAAGCUGCAUAGUUGUGACAGAAAUCAUCUGGCCCACGAGCCAAAAUACUUACUAUCUGGCCAUUCACAGAAAAAAGUUUGAUGAACCUACUCUAGAUAAAGAGGAUACAGUGGUAAAGAACAAUAACAAAGUCCCCGUGGGUCUUCAGAUGUUCCUGUUUCUAGGACUGCAGUGGAUGACUGCUUACUGCCUAAAGGGGCUGACCAAGUUCGACCCACAGGAUCACAGUCAAUGCCACUUCUAGGGGCGUGCAAGAAUGAGAAUAAGGACGACAGGUGUGGACAGAUGUGCAAGAGCAGGUGCGAGAGAGGAAGUGUUGGGAAAGUGGAUUAGUUAGUGUGGAAACCAGCUGGAACAGGCAGGCCACAGGGAUUCCCCCAGAGGGACACCCAAACCCACGGAUGGGCCAGGGACCACAUGUAUCAGAAUCACCUGGAGACAUGAUUAAAAAUGCAGGUUAGCAGGCCCCACCCAGGAACCUGGAUCUGAGUUCCAGAGGUGUGUCUGAGCUUCCACAUUCUUAGCUGGCACCCCCACGUGAUUCUGAAGCGCGCUCAAGUUUGAAAGGCACUGGAUUAGUGUUUAGUUUUCGUGAGCGGUCGAAGGCGCUCCCAACGCGGUCUGGCCUGAAAUCCACUCGUGGCAGUUCUUUAUAGACAAUUUAGGCAAAGCCAGAGACACAGCACAUCUGGAUCAUCAUCAAGUCCCUUAUAUUCCUGUGAAAAAGACAGAAAUAUGUGCCUUUGGGUGUCAAGACAAUUGCCAGAACUUGUUACUCAUUAAAUGAUCAUGCCCCAUACAUGUCUACUUAGGGUUCUCAAGGGCCAGGAGACCCCAACAGUAUGUCACAGGCCUCUGACUUUGGAUCCAAUUGUGCAAUGUUUUCAUCAACGCGAUGAUGAAAAAUAAUGGAAGCUUACUUUUCAGAUCUGAGAUGAUACCAAAUACAGAAGAAAAGCAAGGUUGUGAGGUGCUAAAAUCAAUAGCUGUGAAGACCCCAACAACAGAGAAGAUCUAUUUUUAAAACUGUUAAACGCUUUAUUCAGAUGGAAAUCUGAUAUAGAAAUACAAUAUAAACCCAAGGACAGAGGAGCUGCUGUGUCUGAAAUGGGAGAGAACACCUGAGCCCUGACUCUCAAAUCCCCUUACACCAUUCCCUCCUCUACUUUUCAAGAAGGCUCCUCAGUGACCCCCCAAGGGGCUCCUGACACUUACAUGGGGCAAUCUAACAUGAAGAAAUUUAACAAUCACAUCAAAUCUACAAAGGGCAGACAGCUCAUCCUUACUUUUGCCUUUUGAGAUAAUGAAAUAAAUAACUUUGUAGGUUCUCUGAG